rfam:Xylella fastidiosa Ann-1 ctg_239, whole genome shotgun sequence.
CGUUCUCUGCUGUGAACGACGGCGCGUGCAAACAUUUAGCCUUGUCCCUUAAUCACGACCAAGGAGGCGCGACGAUACCGGGAGUGCAAGUCUGCCUUAGGAGCGGAAAGCCCAAUGGUAUUUCAACGCCUCCACUUGAACCACUGGUUCAAGGUCGUUUCGCGAGCAUCGUCAUAGCGGAGAAUGC